rnacentral:lncRNA from 1 species
GGGCUGCGGCCACAGGUGUUUGGUGACAAGGCCAGGUGCCACAGAGGGGCUCGGAGGAGUGAACUGAAGCACUUCCCCCUGAACGGGGCAGCCACCGCUCAGGUCCAGCUGGCUGUUACCGGUGGCAAUGAGGGCGACGCUUGCCACUUCACUCACAGGUCAGAAGCCAGAAACCAAGACCUUUCAGUAAAAUUUCAGAAUCUUUAGAUAUUGGCUCAAAAAAAAAAAAAAAAACCCCACACUAAAACCAAAAACCAAAACCCUACCUGCACCCCGGAGUCCUGUGCCUUGCUCACUGCCCCACUCCCCAACCCGCAAGGGUGCCUGGCUCGGAGCACUUUGAGGAAUGAAUGAAUGAAUGACAGCGGAUGGCCCGACACCAUCACCAUCACGGCCCAUCUUUGUGCCAGGUACCCCCCCCCCUUAUCUGAACUUGGCUCAUCUAAGGAAGGAGGCCCCCCAAAAAACCCACUUGCUUUUACUCUGAAUCACCCAAUGCACCGCCCCGCCCCCCACCCCCACGGCUCAUGGCAAGUGGUUGCCUCUUGGACUCUCUCCCAGGACAGAAUCCAGAGGCAGGGGAGCGGCUCCCAUACGACGUGUCUAUGUUUACACCAAGCAGGUAUCCAGACGGUUCUAUGCUGGGAACUACUGCUGGUUACCCAGAACAAUACAAGCUCUUUGUCCUUACAGGAACUCAAGAAAAUCAAGAAGCUGCCAAGGUGACCCCUUCUGAUCCAGGCACCGUGCUACCCACUGACCCCCGCCCCCCUCUACGAGGAACCUGUCAGGACACUCUCCCCCUCUCCCAGGAAUUGAAGGGAUGGACCUGUGUCCAUAACUCGGUGGAAAACAUCGUUCAGAUAAAAUCGCAGCGCUGCUAUCACCUGGACGACUUACAGGAACAAUAGGAGCACAGAAUGUAGAACAGGUCUGUUUACCCAGGAUUUAAGGAAAACAAGGACACUAUGGCAUGGCAAAGACUCUAGGUCCCUCACAUCCUGCCUUCAUACCUGGGAGAGCUGGAGUCAGGAAGAGCUGGAAACUGCUGCUGCCUGAGGAGGAAGAAGACACCAGACCUGAACCAGGAUAAGCCAAGAUAUAGUCUCCUACACCCGAGAUACAGCCUGCAGCCUCCCUAAUCUCCUCUACCCAGUUUAGGGUGGAACAAUCCCAUCCAUGCCAGCACCCUCCCUAAUCCCAUUCAUUCUAUUUCCUUCCUAGGGUUGCUUUCACUCCCUCUUGUUCCGCUUAAUGACCCGGCUUUGGGGCUGAUUCCUUGGUUCUGCUUAUACUCACCACAGGCCCCUUGCUCUGAUGACCUGUCUGAGUAGGCUAGUCUGGUUCACAUACGUGUGCUCUGGGGGCAUCAGAAAUCCAAGACACAUGAGUGAGAUCAUAUCAUAUGUAGAAUUUAAGAAACAAAGCAGAGGAUCAUAGGAGAAGAGAGGUAAAAAUAAAACAAUAUGAAAUCAGAGAGGGAGACA